CCCCAAGAUGGGUUUCAGAUUGGAGUGUAUAAACUUAUGUCGUGCAUGCAACACCUGCUGAAAUUCUCUCGCACACUGCUGCUCUCCUUUGCUCUGGACCACCCGAGACGUCGAAAAUAUCCGUGCUGCUUAGCUGCUACGCUCGUCGUGGCCUCUAUUCCGAGACAAACUCAGAGGGAUCCAUGAGACUCACCCAGAACAAGCCAUCUGGGGCCUCCAGCCACACACACACACACCCUACAUGGUCUGAUUAGGAGAAAGUGGAUAGAGACGCAAGGCUGCUAUACUACAACCGGUUUACGUGGGGAAGGUAAGAGCUGCUGGAAUCCAUGAACUUAGCCUCCAAGUCGAAGCAUUUAGGCUGAGGGAAACCUGGCAGUCCAAACCCACGCACAAUUACUCAGAAACAACUCCCACCAAAAGAAAGAAAACUUACUUCCUUUUACUCCAGUCUCCCCUUCCAUGCACCCCGCUCCUAUUCCCGUUUUAUUGGAAGGGGCCUUCCCCAGGAUUGGCGCCUUGUCUUGUGCUUUUGUUUUGCUCUGAACAUGUAAGAGCGCAUAGUAGGAAUAAGUCCUGUUGAACAUAGUAGGGAAUUACUACCGAGUAACAGUGCAUAGGAUCGGGCUUUGGGAGGACAAUACUGCAGUGCGAAAGCUUGCUUCCAGUGUUUUUAAAAGACACAGAUGGCCCAACUAAAGGUUUGUUUUCAAUUGA